AAAUAUUUUAAUGAUGUAUAGGUAGUACUUUUUUAGUAUGAUUAUUAAUAUUCUACUAAAUUAACGAGAUGUAAUUAGGACACCUGGAGUAUUGAAAAUUAUUAAAUUUUAUAUAAAACACACUAGAUUAUAAAACAUAAAACUAAAUGCCUAAACAAUUAGUUACAAUAAUAUAUUUCUUAGGGUAAUUUGGUUAUUUUAUAUUAUAAGGAUAAAUUAGUUAAAUUAAACUUAUCUUAAAGCAACCUUAAAUUAUCAAAGAUUGUUAAAAGACAAAGUAAGAAAAAAGAUAUUAUAAGAAUGAUUUAAUUAAUUAAUUAUUCAAACUUAUUAUUAAUUUGUAAUUCUAUAAAAUAAUGUGAACUUAUUGUAAUUAUUUUAUGAAAGUGGGGUGGGUUUAUAAAAAUAGUGAGGUGGAAAUAUCCACACCCUAAAUUUCUUUCAUCUUUCUCUACACUAAGCACAACUCACCACGAAAAUAAGGCAGCGACAAAACAGAAUUUCGAUAGAACAACGACAUAAGGCAGCGACACUAAGCACAACUCAUGUGCCACUUAUGAGUUUCGCCCUCAAUUUGUAAAAGCUUCAUAAAUUAGUUUUUUCCAAUUAAAUAAGGCAGUGACAGAACAGGGCAAUUUGUUUCGUAUACUUUAUGCUAGGGCUUUCAAGCGACAAAGUGAACACAUCUUAAAUUUAUACUGGAAAUGAUCCCACCCAUCCAUUACGAUAGAGUUACAUUGACUUUGUCUUACGUUACCAAAAUUUCUGAAAAAUCAACAUAAAAAAAUAAUAUGAACUUUCAAUAAAUUAUUUAUGUGUUCAACUUCAAAUUCUUUGACUUAAUAGGGUAACGCCCGUGUUUCAAGCUCCCUUUUUAUUUCAAACUUUGUUUUCUCUCCUGCAUCUUCUGUUUUUUUUCUACUUUUUUGGUCAAAUAUCUCUUCUCAUUUAUUUCAAACAUGGCUG
rnacentral:lncRNA from 1 species